UUUUAAUUCCGUCCAAUGGCCCAAUCGUGUCUUGGAAAUAAUCACAAACGGUAAACUAUGAAUGAAGUAACAAAUGUGACGUUAUAUGAAAUGGGUGUAUCAUAUUCUACUGGAAGUAAUGGAUACAAAACGAUAAGGAAAACGAUGUACAGCAAGUGUGAAACGUAACAAAUGAUGCAGUUUUGCUCACAAUUCCAAAGCUUUCGAUGGAUAAUGUCACAAUCUUGCCGGCGGUUAUUUUGCAUGGUGAAACAGUCCUGUUCAUGAUUAAGAGUAAAAGUUUUCUACACCUUUUCGAUGUGGAAUACCAAUUGGCUCUGCAACUAUUCAAAUCGUGAUUAAUAGAAGGGAACAGUGUGAGAGAAUGAGAAAGAGAAUGUUAAACAAAAGCAGUUAAGUUAGUUCAGAAAAAUAUCUUACAUCGACUCGUAUGGAACGACGCUGUAAUCCAACAGAAAUUGGGCUUGCCAGAACUGG